rnacentral:misc_RNA from 1 species
UCUCCGUAGGUGAACCUGCGGAGGGAUCAUUACAGAGUUCAUGCCCUACCGGGUAGAUCUCCCACCCUAUGUUAUUAUUACUUUGUUGCUUUGGCGGGCCGUUAGGCUCCGGCCCGACUACCGGCCCCGGCUGGUAAGCGUCCGACAGAAUGCCCAAAACCCUUAAUAUUAGUUUCGUCUGAGUACUAUAUAAUAGUUAAAACUUUCAACAACGGAUCUCUUGGUUCUG